CUAUGACAUAUUGGUUGUCAUGGCGGAAGGAG
rnacentral:ncRNA from 1 species